rnacentral:misc_RNA from 1 species
UUUCCGUAGGUGAACCUGCGGAAGGAUCAUUAUUGUAUAACCGAGGUGCGAGUGCUGUCGCUUACCCGAAAGGUCGUGCACGCCCGAGUGCCCUCACACACAUCCAUCUCACCCCUAUGUGCACCACCGCGUGGGUCCCCCUUUGGCUUGUUCGGAGGGGGGCUUACGUUUUCACACAAACUUUGUAUGCAGUGUAGAAUGUAUUUUUUGUUUUUGCGAUCACGCAAUCAAUACAACUUUCAACAACGGAUCUCUUGGCUCUC